CCACGAAAGACAGUGAUGCUUCCCUUCCAAGCACAUAUCUGACACAGCAUGCUGUGGAAUAUCACAAGUUCUGAGUCUUUCGUCU
rnacentral:snoRNA from 1 species